GGUAGAAUGACUGACUUAAGUGAUAAACUGUAAAUUUAUACAAGGGUAUAACCCUUCUAUCAGCU
rnacentral:tRNA from 1 species